rnacentral:rRNA from 1 species
ACACAUGCAAGUCGAGGGGCAGCGAGAUUGAAGCUUGCUUCAAUUGUCGGCGACCGGCGGACGGGUGCGUAACGCGUAUGCAACCUACCCAUAACAGGGGGAUAACACUGAGAAAUUGGUACUAAUACCCCAUAACAUCUCGAGUGGCAUCACUUGGGGUUGAAAGCUUCGGUGGUUAUGGAUGGGCAUGCGUUGUAUUAGCUAGUUGGUGAGGUAACGGCUCACCAAGGCGACGAUACAUAGGGGGACUGAGAGGUUAACCCCCCACAUUGGUACUGAGACACGGACCAAACUCCUACGGGAGGCAGCAGUGAGGAAUAUUGGUCAAUGGACGGAAGUCUGAACCAGCCAUGCCGCGUGCAGGAUGACGGCUCUAUGAGUUGUAAACUGCUUUUGUACGAGGGUAAACCCGAAUACGUGUAUUCGGCUGAAAGUAUCGUACGAAUAAGGAUCGGCUAACUCCGUGCCAGCAGCCGCGGUAACACGGAGGAUCCAAGCGUUAUCCGGAUUUAUUGGGUUUAAAGGGUGCGUAGGCGGUCAGAUAAGUUAGAGGUGAAAUUCCGGUGCUUAACACCGGCGCUGCCUCUAAUACUGUUUGACUAGAGAGUAGUUGCGGUAGGCGGAAUGUAUGGUGUAGCGGUGAAAUGCUU